rnacentral:lncRNA from 1 species
GGCAGGCGGUGUGCUGUCCGGGUGGGAGCCCCCUGCACCCCCUGCACCCCCUGCACCCCCUGCCCCUGCGCAGCUCCCACAGGGGGGGCUCCGGGGUGGAGCGGUGGCCGCAGACGCAAGCGCUCCCUCCCUCCGCCCGCGUCUCCCAGGCGACAGCAGCCUCGGUCUCGGCUCGGCCCCUCCCCCGCCCCGCCCCGGCUGCGAAGCGUCUGGAACCGCAUCCUUCCUCCGCAUCCUCGUCCUGCGGCCGCGCCGUGCAGCAGCUGCCCGUCGGAGCCGCCUGUGAGCCAUUUCCACAUUUCUCCUUGUGGAGCGGGGGCGAGGGGGGCCGAGUGUGCAGGGGCGUGUGCACGGCCGCGCGAGGUGCGCGUGCAGGUGCGCGUGCAGGUGCGUGUGCAGGGACGGGGGCACCGCGGCCGACCCGAUGGCGGCCGGGGGGAGCCGGGGUCCCUCCUUGGGGUCUCCGGUGGCCGCAGCGGGGUGCUGUCCGCAGGCCCCCCCGACGGCCGGGGCCUCCGCGGGGCGAGCCGCUGCCCGGACCCCCGAGGAACCGCCGGUGUCCAGCCGCGCGCAGACCCGACGUGCCGCCCCGACCCCGUCUCGGCCGCGCGGCGCGGCGCGGGCGGGGGUCGGGGCCAGCAUCAGCGGCGUCGCGGGGGCCGGAGAGCCCUGGGGGCUGCGGGGGGGCGGCCCGUUCCAGAAGGUCCGGCUCUGUGCGAGGGCGGGGGGCGCGGGGGGCGCGGGGGGAGCGGACGGCCGGACCGAGGAGCGCCGGGGCCCCGCGCCAUCGCUCCAGCAGCACCUGCCGCAGACCCCGGGCUCGGGCCACAGGUGGCGGGCGCGCGGGAAGCCGGGGCGGGUGCAGAGACGAGCCGCCCCCACCUGGGCCUCCGGGGCUGUGCGGGAGCCGAGAGCCAGGCCGGGGGCGGCGGGCGCGGGGGCGGGGGCUUGCGCCCUGCGGGGUGUCCGCUCUGCACGCGCCGCCCCGCGCUCCGCAGUCACAUGCGCGCCCGACACGCGCCCGGCCCGCAGGAGCCCGCGCAGGUGCGCAGCCCUCCGCGUGACGCAGAUGCAGCCGGGCGGGGGCGGGCGGGGGCGGGCGGGGGCGGGCGGGCGAGCACCCGCGGCCCGGCUCCUGCGGGCUGUUCCGCCAGGGCCCCUCGCCCCCCUCCCCGCGCCCCGCUCAUCCCGCGCCGCCUCCGCAGACGCCGCCCAGCAGCCCGCAGUGGGGAGCGGACGACGGCAGAAGGGGGGGGCGGGAGGCGCAGGGCGACCUCCGAGCCUGUCCUGGGAAUGAGCCCAGCCCGCCUGCCCAGGGGGCCCCACGACUCAGCGAGGGAAAUGGAUGUGGGGGGGGGUCCCACAUGCAGCCCGCCCCUGCCCCAGCAUUGCGCCUCGGGCGUGAGGCCUGGAACCCGACGCGGAGAGGCCCGAAGGCCCCAAAUGGCUCCUUCCCUUGGAGAAGAUGUGUCAUUCCCGGCCUCCGUUGCCAUGGAAACCCGUGAUGACGUCACACGGACGUCACGCUCUGUCGGAGGAGGCUCGUCUCCUAGAGGACCCCAGAGGCGGAGCUACCUGUCCCGGGGCCGGCGGCCGGAGGUUGGGGCUAAGGGCGACCUCGCGCCCCCCGCCCCCCGCCCCCCUCUGCAAGCCGCAGGGCCCCGCCGCCCUCCCGCCCCUGCGAAGCCCCCCUGCAGCGCUGCGCACUUGCUGCCCCGGCCUCCCCCUCCUCCGCAGCCCGUCAGGCCCUCCCUCCGGGGUCCCCUCCCGGGGCUUCCGGGCCCUCUGUCCUCCCCAGCGCUGGGAUGUUCCCACGGGUGCUGGUCCACCUCGGCCUCCCGCGGCUGCCCUGCGUCCUCCCCGGGCUGCCCCCCUGCCAGCCCCACUCCCUAG